UCGGAAUAACAGUUAGAAAUGACUGCUAAUACCGGAUAAUGUCUUCGGACCAAAGAUUUAUCGCCUUUGGAUGGGCCCGCGUAGGAUUAGGUAGUUGGUGGGGUAAAAGCCUACCAAGCCGACGAUCCUUAGCUGGUCUGAGAGGAUGAUCAGCCACACUGGGACUGAGACACGGCCCAGACUCCUACGGGAGGCAGCAGUGGGGAAUAUUGGACAAUGGGCGAAAGCCUGAUCCAGCAAUGCCGCGUGAGUGAUGAAGGCCUUAGGGUUGUAAAGCUCUUUUACCAGGGAUGAUAAUGACAGUACCUGGAGAAUAAGCUCCGGCUAACUCCGUGCCAGCAGCCGCGGUAAUACGGAGGGAGCUAGCGUUGUUCGGAAUUACUGGGCGUAAAGCGCACGUAGGCGGCUUUUUAAGUCAGGGGUGAAAUCCCGGGGCUCAACCCCGGAACUGCCUUUGAAACUGGAAAGCUAGAAUACUGGAGAGGUGAGUGGAAUUCCGAGUGUAGAGGUGAAAUUCGUAGAUAUUCGGAAGAACACCAGUGGCGAAGGCGACUCACUGGACAGUUAUUGACGCUGAGGUGCGAA
rnacentral:rRNA from 1 species